rnacentral:rRNA from 1 species
CCUACGGGAGGCGGCAGUAAGGAAUAUUGGACAAUGGUCGCAAGACUGAUCCAGCCAUGCCGCGUGCAGGAUGACAGCCCUAUGGGUCGUAAACUGCUUUUGUGCGAGAAAAAACCCCCUCUACGUGUAGAGGGCUGAUUGUAUCGUAAGAAUAAGGAUCGGCUAACUCCGUGCCAGCAGCCGCGGUAAUACGGAGGAUCCAAGCGUUAUCCGGAUUCAUUGGGUUUAAAGGGUGCGUAGGCGGAAUGAUAAGUCAGUGGUGAAAGCCUGCAGCUUAACUGCAGAACUGCCAUUGAUACUGUCAAUCUUGAGUACAUUUGAUGUGGGCGGAAUGUGUCAUGUAGCGGUGAAAUGCUUAGAUAUGACACAGAACACCGAUUGCGAAGGCAGCUCACAAACUGUAACUGACGCUGAGGCACGAAAGCGUGGGUAUCAAACAGGAUUAGAUACCCUGGUAGUCCCACGCUGUAACUAUAGUAUUACUACGUAUGUUGUCGAUACACUAGUAGACGUCGUAGACGAAGACGAGUAAGUAAGUACCGACCCGUACGGGUAGGUACGCGUCGCGAGAGUAGAAACGUUAAACGGUUAAAGUUAGGACGGGCGGUUGGAGACGUGGCCGACGGACGACGACGACGGGGAAGGUUAGGG